rnacentral:misc_RNA from 1 species
AACCUUAUGGACCUGCGGGCGUAUACCUGCGGAAGGAUCAUUACAAGUGACCCCGGUCUAACCACCGGGAUGUUCAUAACCCUUUGUUGUCCGACUCUGUUGCCUCCGGGGCGACCCUGCCUUCGGGCGGGGGCUCCGGGUGGACACUUCAAACUCUUGCGUAACUUUGCAGUCUGAGUAAACUUAAUUAAUAAAUUAAAACUUUCAACAACGGAUCU